UUUUUUGGCUACCUCUUAAAUUCAAAACACCUAUUCCCCCUCAGGGAUCAUUUUGAUUCAAAUACAAUAAAAUUUCAGAUAUAAAACCAACUUCCAGUUAACACACAAAUACCUACUAUAUGCCAGACUAUAUGCUAAAACUGAAAAGGUGGAAUAAGACCCAGUCCUUGCCCUCAAGGAGCCCACGGCCUUAUUGAGGAGAAUGAAAGGUCAAUGGGAAAGCUGUCUGAGACAAUAUGAAAAUCAAUGAUGCCACUCUAGCAUUAGCUGAAGAUCCCCUUGAUUUCAUCCAGCAGCCAAGACACUAAGUGACCCAAAGGAAGAAAAGGGUGAUCAGCGUGGCUGUGUGGUCAGUAAGUAAAUGUGCAACAGCUGGAGUAAAUUAGAACUAAUUUAGUGCAUAACUUCAGCAGGAAUAAAUUUUGUUAAUCUUCAAAAAGUCAAA
ensembl:lncRNA novel transcript, antisense to PLOD2